AGCUAAUUCCAUCCACUGUGUGCUGCUUUAUACUGGUUCCAUUUGGAGGAAGAUCCUUCCCUCCGAGAGCCUCAAAUAUCUCAAUUAUAAGAUGGGGAUAAUUAUUUAGGGUGAUGCUCUCAAUGGUGAUGAUGGACCUAUACCCUAAGUUUGCUGUGCAGAUAAGCAAGAUGCGGAUGACAAACUGCAACAGAAUGUGCAUUACCUGAGAUGUUACCCCUCACAAAAUCACAGAUAUUUCCAUAUCACAUCGUACUUGUGCAACUAUCACAAAAUAUCAAUUAUAUGCAUCGUGACUUCAAAUUAGCCUCAUGAUUAGUCCCGCAGCUAGAACUUGUUACCUAACAUGUCAAUAAAGAAGCAGAUCUGUUA